rnacentral:lncRNA from 1 species
AAACACUUGGUUGCCUGCAUACACAGUUCUCUCCCCUGUCGUUGUCACACCCCUUAUCAAUACUUUCCCAUCGUUUUCAACUUCACAGCUAAAUUCCCCUGCAGUCAGGAAAUCAAUACUCAUAUCAAGCAGCAGCAGUAAAAAUCAGGUCAUUUCUUGAAAUCUUGAGAUGAACUGUGUGCAAAUGAAUGAAUUAGGUGAUUGAUAAAUUCUAUGUCCUAAUUCACAACUUACGUUCAUCCCUUUUCACCCCAGGAAGGGAUACACGAAAAAGAUACGAGUCCUCGCACUCCCCAAUAUCCAUGUGCCCAAUGGCUGGUCCUAUCUGCCCAACAGCAGCACUUCCAGUCAAUGCAAAUCCACCUCUUGUGGCAGCAACAAUGUUCUUCAACUCCUCCAUUGUUGGGUGAGAAGGGAGAAAGAUCUGAGCUGCUUCAACCCUAUCAGCAGCUGAGGUGUCUCCUUCUCUAGGCAAUAUAGUCAUACCACUGCUAACGGAUGUCACACAGUGACCCCGUUGUGGGGGAUCAUCUGCAUGUCUUUUUCUAUAAGAAUCAUGGCAAGACCUGGACGGAGGCUGCUGUCCAGUAGAUUCAGCUCUCUGCACUGACACAUUAUGCAAAGCUCCACCCACCCUGGAAAUGAGAGAUUCUUUAGUCUGAGAUGAUUCUUUAGUCUGAGAUGAGCCGAUCAUUGCAGUUGCAGAUGUAGUUGGAAAAUCUGCAAGAAAAAGUAGCAGCACUUCAGGGGAAAUUCAUGUGCAAAGUAGAAAGCAGAUUUCCACUUGAUACUCCCAAGAUAUGUAUGCAUUGACAGUUUAUCGUUUAAUUUUCAGAAGCACCCUACAAUCAAACUCCUUGGUAGAGGAUGCCCAAAGAGAUGUGAAACAUACUCCUAUGAGUAAUCAACAGAUCUUUUCCUGUCCUCGAAGAUCCUAGAGUUCCACUUAAUACUUGAUACAAAUUACCCGAAAAGCUGUUAGCAUAUCCCUCUUCAGUAGCACCCUCCCCCAAAGAUUUUCCAAAUGCCCCAAAACAUAAUAACCAACAUAUCUGCAAUAUCUCUAGGUAGAGACCAAGAAAUUCAGAAUAUAGGAUUUUGCAGGGGAGGUUUUCACUUAAAAGAGAGGAGACCCACCUUAUAUUCUUGAGGUGUUGUGCCUAAGAUCCAUUCUCCCUAUAACACUAAAACCUUGAAAGUAUAGUAAGCAAUGGAUUAAAAACCAUCAUAUUUCAGGAUUCAUCAACUUGAUUUAUAUAAAGAGGAGUGGAGAAAAAAUCUUAUUGAGCAGAAAAUUGUUUCUUUUUCCUGCCUUUCCCUACCAUUUCCUCC